GGGGUUGAUGUCAUUGGUUUGGCGUGCUAGCUGUUAACUAGUGUGGUGUGGGAUCGAAGCCCUCCGGCCCCU
rnacentral:tRNA from 1 species